CAGGUCGGUCGGGCGAUCGCGGUCCUGCGUUGUCGGGACCGAGGAAAGUCCGCACUCCACAGAGCACGGCGUCGGAUAGCACCCGGGGCGGGGAACCCUCCGUGAGGAGCUAACCUGCCGGAAGAGGGCCACAGAAACAAACAGCCAACCCCCCCGCCGCUCAAGCGGCACCUCCCCCACAUUGGGAGAGGCUGGGUGGGGUGGGUGAUGGUGAAAAGGUGGUGUAAAAGACCACCGGCAUCCGUAGUAAUACGGAUGGCCAGGUAACCCCCGCCGGGAGCAAGACCAAGCAGGGACGAAGCCAUCUGCGGAUGGCGGGAGGCGGCUCGUCUUCAUAUGCGCUCUCUCAUGCGAUGAGAGAGCCAGUCCCGGGUAGGUUGCAUCGAGCGGCGCGGCGACGCGCCGCCCAGAGAGAUGAUCGCACAGGCGAGGCAACUCGCCAGACAGAAUGCGGCUUAUAGACCGGCCUGAGGU
rnacentral:RNase_P_RNA from 1 species